rnacentral:antisense_RNA from 1 species
GAACUCCUUACCCCAGCUGCCUGGCUGCCCUCAGCUUCCCAAAGCUCAAAUAAGAGGGGCCGGCGGCGCGGGGAGGAGGAGGAGCCAGGAGGCUCGGCCGCUCCAUUCACUCAGCAGCCCAAGCCCGGCCAGGCAGCGCGCGCUGCUCCUUGGGGGCGCCCUCGCAGCUGGGGUGGGGGCGGGUCCGAGGGAGCGUCCCUCUCGGAGACACCCUCCUCUUCAACCCAACACGCGCUCUCAGCUGGCCGGUGUGGCACAACCCUCCCCCCACCUCCCCUUCUUGGCCUUCGCCAGUGUGGGAGCCUCGUCUCACUGGAGAGUCCGUUCAGCUUGCAUUGCAUAAACGUUGUCGCCAUUAAAUUCUGGCUGCGGACCCGAAGUGUGUGCGGGCCCAGGACUUACUCGAAGGGCGCACUUCUUGGGAAUGCUCAUCCCGUAGGCGCAGGAGACCCUGAGGAAUCCUUGUGGGGGCGGGGAGGGGAAGAGCACCGGUGCGAACCCCGGGGUGCCCCCUCGCCCGACUUGGACUUCUCCGACUAAAGAGGUGGGAGGAGUUCCCUGCAGCCUGCGGGGCCAAGAAGAAAGUGCUAAGCUGAGGAGCCGCAGUCGGAGGACCCCAGGGACCCGACAGGAAGUCUCCGUACGACCCCAACGGAUCCACAUGCCCGGAAGCCCAGGCGACACUAAGCCAGCGCUGGGGAACUGACGUACUCCUGCAGUCGCAGGGCGCUCCAUGCCUCUCUGUCCUCUUCUUUGUUGUGGGUAACGUUCUCUGCGGGAGACCUGAGGUUUUCCAAGGGGGACAUGCCAGCUACACUGGCCUUGGCGCCCUGAGCUAAGCACCAGGACUCACAGCCUAGCACGAAGGCAGGUAGCACCUUCACCCGCCGCGGACGAUAGGCGCUCUCCUGUACCUCCUUUAGCUCGCGAGGCCCGCCCUUCGCGAGGUCCCAGAGAAAAGCAGGCUGUGGAAAACUGGGCGCCCCCUUCUUUCACCCACCUUCUUACCCCUGUCAGCGCCGAGGUCUGUAGCAGAGGUUACUGGUCUGAACCACCGAUUGGCAAAGAAAGCUGCAGAUUAAACUUCUCGUUUUACAGGGAAGGAAACUGAGGCCCAGACAGCCGAAGGAGAGGCAGUCUAUGGAGCGCAGCGGUAAAGAGCAAGGGGUUGGUGGCCCCAGAAUGGAACCUCAGCUCUGCCAGGUAACCAACAGCUGUGUGACCCUAGACGAGUUCCGCAGUCUCUCUGAGCCUCAGUUUCCUUACUGGUCAAACGGGAUAAUGGGAUACUAGCGCCCAUCUCAUAGAGUUGUUCUGAGG